rnacentral:rRNA from 1 species
UAAUACGAAGGUGGCAAGCGUUAUUCGAAAUCACUGGGCUUAAAGGGCGCGUAGGCGGAUAUGUAAGUGUCAGGUGAAAUCCCUCGGCUUAACCGAGGAAUUGCCUGACAAACUACAUAUCUUGAGUCAAGUAGGGGUGUGUGGAACUCUUGGUGGAGCGGUGGAAUGCGUAGAUAUCAAGAGGAACGCCGAAGGUGAAGACAGCACACUGGACUUGUACUGACGCUGAGGCGCGAAAGCGUGGGGAGCGAACAGGAUUAGAUACCCUGGUAGUCCACGCCGUAAACGAUGUAUACUAGGGAUAGGGGGUGUUGAUCCCUCCUGUCCCGGAGCUAACGCAUUAAGUUCACCGCCUGGGGAGUACGGUCGCAAGAUUA